UGACCUUUCCUUGUACUAUCAAAUGCGCCUCUCAAUAUAAAACGUCGUGUUUCCUUAAGGAUAAUGGAGAUUGUGACUGCCACUGCGUCGAUACAACAGACGCUUGUGCGCCAUUGCUAAGAUCAAGGUGUAAUCGCGGAGCAUAUCUCCAGUGCUACCGUCCAACUAACGGUUGUAACUGUUUCUGUGGGUGACCCUUCUUCCCAUUUCGAUUUGGAUUCCUUAAUCAUCGUUGGCAUAUUAAUGGUGCGUGGUUUCUUCGGAUCACCACACCACCAGUUGAAUCUAGGAAGUUAUGCAUCUGUAAUCAAAUUUCCUAACUGCACAUUAGCAGAA